rnacentral:misc_RNA from 1 species
GAUGAAGAACGUAGCGAAAUGCGAUAAGUAAUGUGAAUUGCAGAAUUCAGUGAAUCAUGGAAUCUUUGAACGCACAUUGCGCCCGCCAGUAUUCUGGCGGGCAUGCCUGUCCGAGCGUCAUUUCAACCAUCAAGCCUCGUGCUUGUGUUGGGGACCUGCGUCCGACGCAGGCCCUGAAAACCAGUGGCGGGCUCGCUGUCCACACCGAGCGUAGUAACUAACCUCGCUAUGGAGUGGCGCGGGCGCCUGCCGUAAAACCCCCAAUUUCACAAGGUUGACCUCGGAUCAGGUAGGAAUACCCGCUGAACUUAAGCAUAUCAAUAAGCGGAGGA